AAAAAAAUUGAAGAAAAUUUCCAAAUUAUGAAAAAGAGUGCUGGUCUGCGCUAUCUUCACAGUUUACACGGCAAGCGACCAAGAGAAAGCCGCGGCAGCGAUGAUGGAGGGGAGGCGUGGACGGGAGGCCCCGGCGGCUGCAGAAAACCUAGAAGUGAAGCCACCGGUUCCUUUCGAAACCCCUGGGGAGGCCCCACGCCGGCGAACCGGCGGCCAGAAGAGGAAGGCGGCUUCGAGUAUCUUCGCUGUCUCCUCCUCCUCCUCGACAUCGAAAAGGCUAGUCAAGGAGCGGAAUGCCCUCAACAUACUCCCCAGUGGCCACAAUGGUCCCAUCACGAGAGCUAGGCAAUUCCCAGGCAAGAUCGCAGCUGGAAGUCCACAGACGCCGCAGGAGGGAGUUCUGAUUGCUGAGACGCUGGUAGGAGAACUUGCAAAGGAGAUGAUGUUUUCUGAAGAUCCGGUUAAAUCUGUUGAGGAUUCGGCGGAGCCGUCGGAUGUGACUACAAUGGAGCUGGAAUUUGAGGCCGUGCGAUCCAGAGGUGUCGGUGUACAUGUAGUCCCAACUUCCGCUGGUUGGUUUUCAUGGGAGAAAAUCCAUGAGCUCGAGAAGCAUGCGUUGCCAUCAUUUUUCAACGGACAGUCUGAGAGUAGGACACCAGAAAUAUAUGUGGACAUACGAAAUUCCAUCAUGAAGAAAUUUCAUGUUGAUCCUCAGACUCCAAUGGAGGUUAAAGAUUUAUCUGAUAUAUCUGUUGGCGAAUUAGGUGCUAGACAAGAGGUGAUGGAGUUUCUAGAUCACUGGGGUUUGAUCAACUUCCACCCUUUCCCGCAUUCCGGUACUGACAAAAGAGUGAUUGAAGCUGGAGCCGAGAAAACAACCUCUCUGCUUGACCAGUUGUACCAAUUCGAAAAUGUGGAGUCAUUACCCUGUUAUGUUCCCAAAAAACAGGAAUCACCGCCAUCAUCCAUGUUACCACAGCUGCUUCCAGAAUCCGCCCUCCUUGACGACAUGAUGCGGCCAGUGGAUCCUUCAGUUGAGUACCAUUGUAAUUCAUGUUCAGGCGAUUGCUCUCGCAGACGGUAUCAUUGCCAGAAACAGGCAGAUUUUGAUCUCUGUGCGGAGUGUUAUAAUAAUGGGAAAUUUGGCUCCGGCAUGACACCAGCUGACUUCAUUCUUAUGGAAUCUGCUGAGGGCCCUGGUGUGAGUAGUCGGAGUUGGACAGAUCAGGAAACCUUGCUUCUUUUAGAAGCCUUGGAGCUUUUUGGCGAGAACUGGAAUGAAAUAGCUGAGCAUGUUGCUACUAAAACUAAAGCUCAGUGCAUCUUGCACUUUCUUCAAAUGCCUAUAGAAGAUCCUUUUCUAGAUGUCCAAGAAAAUUCUAGUGACAAUAUGUUGGAGAAAAUUGAACCAUGUUCAGCUAAUAAGGAAUCUUCAGUUGUGAAAGUCCCUGAAGCAAUUGAGGUUGAGAAUGGCAUGAGCUCCGAGCAUCCUGUUUCGUCCCCAGCAGAUGUCUCGGACAUGAAAUAUGCUGAAGUUGAUUUAUGCGGCGAAACUUAUUCCAACUUUGCUGUAAACUCUUUAAAGAGUGCAUUUCAGGCUGUAGGCUUUACAAAUGAUGAUGGAAGAAUGUUCUCAUUUGCAGAAGCUGGAAAUCCUGCCAUGGUGUUGGUAGCAUUCUUAGCGGGACUGGUUGACCAGGAUGCUGUGUCAACUUCAUGCCGCACUUCUUUGAAAUCAAUGUUAGAGGAAUCUCCUGGAACUCAGCUGGUUUCAAGGCAUUGCUUUAUUCUUGAGGAGCCACUUAAUGAUGCUAGAAGUCCUGUCCCUGAGAGUGCUGUUGCUGCCAAUGGUGACUUGGAGGCUUUAAAGGAGGAGGAGCAGUUGCCAAGUUCGAAUGGUUCUGCGGAAUUGAAGAAUGAAACAAUUAAUAAUCAGCCAAAUGCAAAUUCUGGACAGAGUGAAAUGAAACAGCCAGCUUCUCCUAAUGAGUCUCCACAGAAAUCUACUGUGAAAGAAUUAAGUGAUUCAUUUCUCCCAGUGGAUGUAACUUCUGGCAACAGUGAGCCAGAUAAUAAAUCUUUACCUGAGGAACUAACAUCACAAUCUGACAGGAAGGAUGCAAGUAGUUUUGAUGAGGCAAUGGUAAAUAAAACUAGUAAUUCAAAGGAGUUGGGAGAUUUUCCCGUACAUGAUGGAGAUGCACCAUCUAUGCUUAAGUUUGUAGAUGAUCAAAAGCUUUCAGAGGAAGGCAAGCCAGAAUCUGUGGAGCAAUCAUGUAAUUCAGAAUUGAUUGAUCAGGUCCAACAAAUUUCAGAAUUAACAAAAGUUGAAGAUACCACGCCAACAUCCAUUGUCCUGAAAGAGGAACCAGAACAAAAAGAUAGUGCAGAUUCUACCUUAGAUGUUAAUGUAGUGGCAGGUGGAGAUGAUAAAAAGAUAUCUUCACCAAAAAUUGAUAUAAAUAUUUCAACUACUUCUGAUAGUUCUCAUAGUGCAAACAACAUAAAGCGUGCUGCGGUCACUGUGUUGUCAGCUGCUGCUGUGAAGGCCAAGCUUCAUGCUGACCAGGAGGAGGACCAAAUCCGCCAAUUAGUGUCAUGUAUGAUUGAGAAGCAGUUGCGCAAAAUGGAGAUCAAGUUGGCAUUCUUUCCCGAGAUGGAAAAUUUGAUCAUUAGGGCAAAAGAGCAAACCGAAAGAGCAAGACAAAAACUCAUCAAUGAGCGAACGCAGAUUAUUGCAGCUAGACUUUUUCAAUCCCAGUCUUCUUCUAGACCUUAUGCUACACCUUCAGCUUAUGCCAAACUUGCAAUGGGUUAUGGUAAUAUGAGUAUAAGGCCACCAAACAUGGCAUAUCAGAGGCCACCACCACCCAGAAGACCUUGAAGAAAUAAUGCCUUGAUGCUUUGUCAUUUUUUUGGAAGCAAAAAGCUUUUAUUAAUCAGAACGUAAGCAAGUUAAUGUGUAUCUGUGGUUUGCUUUCCUGCAAGGCACCUCAUUGCUUUGGUGCGCACACUCUCUCGUCAUUCUGAGUCUCCGGAGGUCAGACUUUGGGAAGCUAUGAAAUGUUUUUGCUUCCAGAUAUACAGGUAAUUUUUUUCAUUAUAAUUAUGAUCAGAACAUCUGAUAACUUAGGGCUUCAAGCUAUCAUGGUGGCUAAAUUCAAAUUAUGCAUGGUAAUUUUCGUCAUGGUCGUAGUUUCCUUCAAAUGCAGUUUGACACAUAAUUUUAUAUUACAAUAGAAGAGGAACGAAAAAUGCAGACAGGCCAUGUUUGGUUUGAUGGUGAGGAAAAGAGCUGAAAUUAUGUUGUAAUUGUGUUUUUCUUCUUUUGGUUAGAAUGUAAUAAAAGAAUAUGAAAAUACGAAGGAAUUUCUGGUAAUGGUGAUGCUUCUCCUGAACUUAUGUCAA